rnacentral:tRNA from 1 species
GGGUGUUGCUCAGUGGUAGAGUAAGUGUUUAGCAUUCAUGAGGGUGUGGGUUCAAUCCCCAGCACCAAACA